rnacentral:rRNA from 1 species
CCUACGGGAGGCAGCAGUGGGGGAUAUUGCACAAUGGGGGGAACCCUGAUGCAGCGACGCCGCGUGGGUGAAGAAGCGCCUCGGCGCGUAAAGCCCUGUCAGCAGGGAAGAAAAUGACGGUAACUGAAGAAGAAGCCCCGGCUAACUACGUGCCAGCAGCCGCGGUAAUACGUAGGGGGCAGGCGUUAUCCGGAUUUACUGGGUGUAACGGGGGCGCAGACGGCGAUGCAAGCCAGGAGUGAAAGCCCGGGGCCCAACCCCGGGACUGCUCUUGGAACUGUGUGGCUGGAGUGCAGGAGGGGCAGGCGGAAUUCCUGGUGUAGCGGUGAAAUGCGUAGAUAUCAGGAGGAACACCGGUGGCGAAGGCGGCCUGCUGGACUGCAACUGACGUUGAGGCCCGAAAGCGUGGGGAGCAAACAGGAUUAGAUACCCGAGUAGUC